UGGGGAAUAUUGCACAAUGGGCGAAAGCCUGAUGCAGCGACGCCGCGUGAACGAAGAAGUAUUUCGGUAUGUAAAGUUCUAUCAGCAGGGAAGAAAAAUGACGGUACCUGACUAAGAAGCUCCGGCUAAAUACGUGCCAGCAGCCGCGGUAAUACGUAUGGAGCAAGCGUUAUCCGGAUUUACUGGGUGUAAAGGGAGCGUAGGCGGUGGUUUAAGUCUGAUGUGAAAGCCCGGGGCUCAACCCCGGUAUUGCAUUGGAAACUGAAUCACUAGAGUGUCGGAGGGGUAAGUGGAAUUCCUAGUGUAGCGGUGAAAUGCGUAGAUAUUAGGAGGAACACCAGUGGCGAAGGCGGCUUACUGGACGAUUACUGACGCUGAGGCUCGAAAGCGUGGGGAGCAAACAGG
rnacentral:rRNA from 2 species